GCAUCCUGAAAAAUCAUACUAGGGCUUAUUUUCAGGGGAUCUUAUUUUUGGGGAAACAGGGUACCAGAUGCAACCCCUCUGUUAUGGCUUGCCAGAUCCUUGAAAGGGCUAGCAGUACAGGCAGGGUGUUUAUCAAGCUCUGAAGAGGCUGUAUUUUGCUCGCUCUGUCACAGGUUGUACAAGCCUGAUGUUUUCCUUUCAGCACAUACAAUGGCAUCCACACUCUCUUGGGGGGGAAAAUGUCAGUAGUGUUCCUUAGCUUGGUGCAGCUUUUUUAAAAAAAUAAAUUAAAUUUAAAUUCAGCCUUUUCUAGGGAGGUGGAGAUAAUUUUAGCUGGGAUGGGCAACUUUCAGAGGUUUAGGGGUUGCAGAUACCUAUCUCUGGACAUUGGAAGACCACUCUCCUUUCUGUUACACAGAUCUCAGUCCCCAACAUAUUUUCUUACAAAAUGCUGUUUUAAAAUGAAAAGUCCCCUUGCAUUGUUUGGUGGUCAAAUAGAAGGUUAAAUUGCACUUCACACCUCGUAGAAGACACAAUCAGCUUUUUGAGCCUUUUUUUGGCCUGAAGUGGGUGGAUCCUUGGGCAUUGGAGAGUGCGGGGGGGGGGUCUUCCAUUUUAGAUCCUACACUUACAGGCUUUAUGGUGCCACUAUAGUUAGACCAAGAGGAAGCAACAUAAUGGGCUAGAGGCCAGUUUUCUGCACUGGGUACCGUCUGGAGGUGGCAGAAGUUGCAGAAAGUGAUAGAUGAAACUGCAAAUGACUAGAUGUCCACCUUCAGUUUUGGCAAAAAAAAA